GAAUAAUAAAUUACAAUAAAACUGUAACAUGAUGAUACAUCCCAAAGUUAUAAAAAUUUAAAAGAGCCUUAAAACACACAAACUUGAACUAUAUACCUUGAUAACAAAUUUCACCUAUCGAGAUGAAAGACGCAUAAAAUUCGACGGAGCAUCACCAAAAAUAUUGAAUUUAACUUGAAAAUUGAUUUACUUUCUAAAUAUCAAACAUCCGCAUAUUUAGUCGACAAUUGGCAUCUUUUCCAUGCGUCAAUCAAAAUGACAAACUUACUUCUCGUGGUUAACUGAAAUUAUUGUUGAUUUCGUGCGUAAUAUAUCUGCUACCUACCAUAAUAAUAUGUAAAAUAUAUCUACUCAAAUAAACCGCCCAGGAAUUUGUCACACCAUCUGUAAAAGAAGAAAACUCACAUUAUGCAUAUGAAGAUUUACGGAAAAAAUAACAAAGAAACAAAAAACAAAAACAAAAACAAAACCUAAAUAAAAAAUACCAUAAUACUCCAGUCAGUAGACCUUUUUACCUCUACUAAGCACCUUCAUAUGUGAAAUUUGAAAUUCUUGUUGAACUCGUGCAUGAUAGAAUCAAAUGGCGAACAUCAGAUGAUGAGAAUCGUGAUAAAAUACAAAAAAAAUAAUGCUAAACUUGGCUUGCGAUUGCAAGCUUAAUCUCAUCUGAAACUCAAAUAAAACACUCAGAAUUUUUUGUAAUCUCAUCUCAUAUCACCAAAGUUUUGGGCUUGUCGAUUCACAAUCUCCGGUAGAACCUUGGCUUGCAAGCUUCCAAAAACGUGAAGAGAAUUCUUUGUCAUGUAAAAAAUGGGAACAACUUAUCAGUUAUACUUACCAAACAAUGCAAAUCUGAUAUUAUGCAAUAAAUAAUAUUUCAACUCCCCAAGAGAAUAUAAAUAAAUAUAUAGGAAAUAUAAAAGCAAGUGAUUUUUCCUCUCUAAUUUCAUCUCGUGAGGAUACAUUAUCUUCAUCAUCAUCAAGAAGCACUCCACAUUCCUCUUUGUUUAUCCUCUCAACUUCAUCCUCCAUACUUUGCAAGGAAACAUAAUAUUAUAGAUCCACACUAUGUUACUUAGUAUUUAAUCUAAAUUUUCUAGGAACAACAAAAACGUUGAUUAAAAUAAAGAUGUUAAUAACAGAAAUUUCUUAUGUUCUCGCUGAUUAAGUACAUCAUCAUGAUAAUGGUGCUUAACCGUCUUGAGAAUGGCAAUAUGACCAUCUCACCUUGGGCUUUGCAAGAUGUAUGCAGCUACAUAUCUGGUACACCUUCUCGCCAUUAUAUUUUGGAAUAACGUUCAAAGAAGAGGUUUCGGAAUCAAACUUAAAUUCUGCACAUAAAAAAAAAAAAUCAAUGGAAUCAAAUCUCCAAUAAACAUGGAAUGGACAAAUUAAAGAAAAAAACAUAGUGAAUAAAUUUCAGCACAAGUAUGAAAUCAAUUAAACAACAGUGGAAAUAUCUAUUAUUUUUCACCCAAUCCCUCAUUCCAUAGUGAUUUCUUUGUUUUUUUUAAUUUUUUUUUUUAUUAACAAUUGGAUAUCAACAGAAUUACAGAAAACCCACAAUAAAAAAAUUAUCAUGCAAAAAAAUAGACAGGCUGCAAAAGUGCAAUACAUUUAUAGGCGCAUUACCGCUUACCGAAAAACGAAAACAAUUUCCUCUAAUUAUAUGCUCUAACAGAGAGCAACAAAAGGAUCCUCAAAAAACUCUUACAGGGUGCACAAAUAACAACAACAACAAUAUAUAUAUAUAUAUUAUAUAUAUAUAUAUGUAUAUAUAUAUAUAUAUAUACACAUAUAUAUAUACAAAAAAUCAGCCAAGAAACCUGGUAGCUCAACAAAGUCAUCGUGCUUAAAAUCAAUAAAAAACCAAUAAUUCAGUGCAUAAAUCAGAAGGGAAAAGAAGAAGAACUAAAUACCUUGUUGCGUCCCUUGGCCUUUCAGUGGAGCAGGGAUUUUUUUUCUUUUUCAAGCCAUCAAUCGAUUUCGCGGGUUGUGGAAGAAAAUGAGACAGAAACUUGUAGUUUUCAAUUUUUAGAUCGUGUC
rnacentral:lncRNA from 1 species